rnacentral:rRNA from 1 species
GCGCAUCAGCCAUGGCGCGGUGAAUACGUUCCCGGGCCUUGUACACACCGCCCGUCAAGCCAUGGGAGCCGGGGGCGCCUGAAGUCCGGGACCGCGAGGACCGGCCUAGGGCGAAACUGGUGACUGGGGCUAAGUCGUAACAAGGUAGC